rnacentral:lncRNA from 1 species
AAACUACCAGAGUUGGGGGUGACUAUGGCACCAGGAAGUCACCUUCUCCCUCCACCUCUGCACAUGAGGGAGAAUCAAGAGAAGGUUUGAAAGGGAUCAAAAGUUGGAAAAGAUCAUUCGACAAUGGUGCUCUUAUAACACCCCUAAUUUUAUACACUAUAAAAUAACAUAUAUUAAAAAUAACAUGUAAAAAGAAAGAAUAAUAAUUGUGUUGAAAUACUUAAAUACUAAAAAUCGAAUGGACAAAUCAAUUUAUUUUUAAUAGUUCUUUCAAAACUACAUUAUUAGAGUCAUGAAAAUAAUUUAAAGACUCCUUAUGCACAUGAUGACCUAUAUUGUGACCAUGAUCCGACUAUUUGACGUGUCUCUAACGAACUACUUGUGAUCCUGCGUACACGACACAUACUUCCGUCUACUAUCUGGAAUGUCUCAAGCGAGUUGCUUUCUUUCUCUGAAAAAAAAAAACAUGAAAGUAAAUGAAUGAGAAUUUUACAAUUCUCAGUGAUAACAAUAUCCACUCCAAAAACAAGAAAAACUUACAUAAACAUAAAUUAAGUAGUUAUAUCAGCGGUAAACAUUUCAAAAAUAACUACUAGCUUCACCAAUGAAAAUAACAUAGUUAAAUCUCUUUCAAAUUAAAGGUCAUUCUUUAAUUCAUUGUUAUCACUUG